AUACGUAGGGGGCGAGCGUUAUCCGGAUUUAUUGGGCGUAAAGCGUGUGUAGGCGGUUUGUUAAGUUUAAGAUUAAAGCCCGAGGCUUAACCUCGGUUCGUCUUAAAAACUGGCAGACUUGAGUGCAGUAGAGGCAAGUGGAAUUUCUAGUGUAGCGGUUAAAUGCGUAGAUAUUAGAAGGAACACCAGUGGCGAAGGCGGCUUGCUGGGCUGUUACUGACGCUGAGACACGAAAGCGUGGGGAGCAAAUAGGAUUAGAUACCCUAGUAGUCCACGCCGUAAACGAUGAGUACUAAGUGUCGGGUAACCGGUGCUGAAGUUAACACAUUAAGUACUCCGCCUGAGUAGUACGGUCGCAAGGCUGAAACUCAAAUGAAUGGACGGGG
rnacentral:rRNA from 1 species